rnacentral:rRNA from 1 species
GACGAACGCUGGCGGCGUGCUUAACACAUGCAAGUCGAACGGAAAGGCCCUGCUUUUGUGGGGUGCUCGAGUGGCGAACGGGUGAGUAACACGUGAGUAACCUGCCCUUGACUUUGGGAUAACUUCAGGAAACUGGGGCUAAUACCGGAUAGGAGCUCCUGCUGAAUGGUGGGGGUUGGAAAGUUUCGGCGGUUGGGGAUGGACUCGCGGCUUAUCAGCUUGUUGGUGGGGUAGUGGCUUACCAAGGCUUUGACGGGUAGCCGGCCUGAGAGGGUGACCGGCCACAUUGGGACGGAGAUACGGCCCAGACUCCUACGGGAGGCAGCAGUGGGGAAUAUUGCACAAUGGGCGGAAGCCUGAUGCAGCAACGCCGCGUGCGGGAUGACGGCCUUCGGGUUGUAAACCGCUUUCGCCUGUGACGAAGCGUGAGUGACGGUAAUGGGUAAAGAAGCACCGGCUAACUACGUG